CUGCGUCCCCGCUUAGAAACGUCGUUUGGUAACUCAGCUUGCUGCGGCUUCUAUCGAUCUCCAUAUCUAGAUGCCGCAUCAGUCUCUCGAUCUCCCUCUGAUCACAUCAUUCUCUCUCCCUCUAACGCUGCCUCACUUGCCUCUCAUCACGAUUUCGGGUUAGAAAUCGAAGCCUCAAUCAAGCAAGGCUACUUGGCAGUUUGGAUAUUCAGAAUGACUGGUCGGUUGUAAAAUGAGGAUGGGAUGCCCAAGUUCUCGGUGAAGCCCCCCUAUAAAUUUAAGAAUGUUGUUGAAGCUAUCAAGACAUUGAGAGCAGAACCAAAUGCCAAUGACCAGUAUCUACCUCCUUUUGUUAUUGUUGAUGACAGUGGAAAGCCUGUGGGCCCAAUAAUUGAUGGUGAUGCUGUUGUAACAUUCAACUUCCGAGCAGAUCGUAUGGUCAUGGCUGCUAAGGCAUUUGAGUAUGCAGAUUUUGAUAAAUUCGAUAGAGUUUGAGUUCCUAAAAUCCGUUAUGCUGGUAUGCUUCAGUAUGAUGGUGAGCUGAAGCUUCCAACCUGUUACCUUGUAGAACCCCCAGAGAUUGAUAGAACAUCCGGGGAAUGGGAAUCGCUCUGGAUGCUUUAACCCUGAAAUGGAGGAAUAUGUGGAAAUUCCAAGUGAUAGUGGAAUCUCAUUCAACAUCCAGCCAAAGAUGAAGGCAUUGGAGAUUGCUGAAAAGGCAAGGGAUGCUAUUCUGAGCAAGAAGUUUGAACAGGUACGUGUUAACCUACCCAAUGGGGACAUGGUGGGGCAUACUGGUGACAUUUAGUCCACAAUUGUUGCUUGCAAGGCUGCUGAUCAAGCUGUCAAGAUGAUUCUUGAUGCGGUAGAGCAAGUGGGUGGAAUUUAUGUUGUUACAACUGAUCAUGGUAAUACCGAGGAUAUGGUGAAGAGAAAUAAGACCGGGCAACCUCUUCUUGACAAGAGUGGCAACAUCCAAAUCCUUACCUCCCACACUCUUCAACCAGUUCUCAUUGCUAUUGGAGGCCCUGGACUGGCACCUGGUGUUCGGUUCCGCAAGGAUCUUCCGAGUGGUGGUCUUGCCAAUGUUGCUGCAACUAUGAUCAAUCUGCAUGGAUUUGAGGCCCCUGCUGACUAUGAGCCGUCCCUCAUUGAAGUUGUUGAUAACUAGGAAAUACAAGGCAACAUAGGGAAAAGAAUUCUCACUAUUAUUUCCUAAACUUUGAUGUUAGGUUACAGAUGCCCAUUCAAAGAGGCGUUGACUUCCCUUAUUUUUGUUAAAUAAGUUUGAAAAACUAUGUUUGCUCACAGCUGCUGUGAGACUACUGGGAUUUGGAGAUGACACAACAGUUGAGAUGAAAAUGGAUUUUUGCUAUUUUCUGCUUUCCAA